AAGCAAUUUGGCAACCACGUUUUCUCCCUGUGGGAGCUUGGUAUGCAGCUACUGCGGACAGCAGCCUCCUUGUUAGUGUUUGUGGCCUUUUGCUUCUAUGAGCUGCCUUAAGGGACCUUGGAGAUAACC
rnacentral:snoRNA from 1 species